rnacentral:lncRNA from 1 species
CUGGAAUCUCCUGUUUCAGGGGGAGUUCACAGGAAGCCAUGUUAGGGCAUUUCCAUGUCGUCCUGGGCCCAGACUUCCAGCCCCGAGCAAGGACUUCAAGUCUUGGUCAACUGCCAUGACAGGGCCUCAGCAUGGCAGCUCUCACUGCAAAAGCUGGCAGGCCUUCAGAAGAAGCUGAAGGUUCCUCUGCCAUUUCCAGUGUAAUUCUCUGAAGCCCGGGCCCAUCCAGUUUAACUGAGUAGCUCCCCUUCUCAUACUCCUCCCACUGUGAUGAGAGGCAGAAUGAGGCUCGCUAUAACACAUUGUGAAACAGGUAAGAGGAGGCAGAACCGAGGGUACAAAUUCAUUUUUCUUGUUGCCAUAUUUCCUUGCUCGUUAUAGUUUCUUUGCACCCUAGAGCUCUUGUCAGCGACCCAUUUUGUGAAUGGAGACAUUUCUGCUUUGAAGUCAUAAUUUAUCCUGCAAGAGCUGCUAAAAGAAGCACUUUUAAACUCAGAUCUGAGCGAAGGCUGGGAAUUGGUUGUUGCAAGUAGAAAAUGAGUCACAGAUGUACAAAGACAUUAGAAGGCUGCCUGCAACAUAGAAGCAAAAUGCUCCAGGAGGCUGACCUGAAUGACAUACAUCAGUGAACUCCUUUGGCCUCUGUCAGACCCACCAAAUCAGAAAAUCUUACACUCCUACAAGAAAUUCAUGCCUUGUAGGAACAUAGACCAAUACUGAGCCACUGAUUCAGCACAUCCUCUGUGGAGACCAACCAGCCACUUGGUGGCAAGAGAUUACAUUGGAACCCUCUCAUCUCAGAAGGAGCAGUGCUUCGUGUUGACUGAAUCAACAUGUGCACCAGAUACAAGACUCCCUUUUCUGCCUGGAAUAAUCUGCCAGUAUGACUCUCAAAAGGCUUAACUCACGGACAUAGGAUCCCAUGUAGCACUGCAUUGGAUUGAGAGAUAGAGAACUCAGUUAAAAACAAGGAGGUGUGGCAGUGGGCCCUUGACUAUGGUAUCCCCUGGCCUUAUCACAUCCUAUGUCACUCAGAAGUUGAGAUCUGAAAGAGUGAAAAAAAAGCUGCUUACUAGCCACUGAGGACCCAGCUUGGAGAUGAUAAGCUGUGAAGAUGGGCGCUGUUCUCCAGACAUAAUAUAUAUGUCCUAAAUCAACAACCUUUCCCUAGAGCUGUGUCCCCAGUAGAUAGCAAGUGCGAGUCUGGAAAUCAAAGAGUAGAAAUAGGCAUAGCUCGGCUUAUAUCACUUCAAGUGACCAAUGUAGGGAAUUUAUGCUUCUUACUACACUCCCAGGCUUUUGUGGUUUAGAAGUCCUAGUUUCUAAAGGGAGAACAUUUCCACCAGGAAACUCAGCAGGAGACCCAUUAAGCUUUAAGCUAUGCUUACUGAAUGUCGCUCAUGCCAAAGCCUAUCAGAAAAGGGAAAUAGCCUUCAUCCCAGCAGGAGUAAUGGGCCCUGAUGAUCAGGAGGAGGUGGGGCUGCUGUUACUCCCUGGGAUUCUCUUGGAACCCUCUUGCCUAAUUUCAACAAAAAAUGGACAAAUGCAGUGGUCAUGGCCUGAGAAAGGCUCAGAUCUUACUGUUGAAGGUGGAGGUGUCCCCAACAGGUAAGCCUCUUAGACCAUCAGAGGUGUUAGCCAAGGGUGAGGAGAAUCUAGAAUGAGUAGGGGAGGAGAGAAAUGAUGUGUGUAGUUACCUUGAAACUGCAGCAUGGGAGUUGGGGGGGUUCUGGGGCUAUAAUUCCUGUCACUGGCCUUCCUCUUGUUAAGUUUACCUAGGAAAACAGGCCAGCGAGAAUCUUGGAGGGGCUGUUCCCAAGUUUUGCUAUAAAAUGAAAGUGAAUCCAAGUGGCCUGGGGCUGAAUCUGAGUUCAUGCUGUGGGCACUGCCCAGAUGCCUUGUCAGAGCUAAGAUCAUUCUCCCAGCUACUGAGAGUGUGGGUAACCUGUGAUGCUUAGCUGAGUCCCUCUCCAGGAAUUGCCUUUAGCAAAAAAUGAGCCACCUCUCUUCACCCAGACCACACUCCCCUCCCCAGGGAAUGUACAGCCCAAUUCAGUGUGUGGUCAGUGCAGAAGCAGAAAGGCUCAAUUUGCCUGCAUCUAGUGAGACAUCUAGGAGGGUUCAUCCUACUCCCUGAACUCCCCAUGGGGUUGACUGAGGCCUUCGUCACAACUUCAUUGCAGUUCAUACCUCCCUUUGCCCCAUCCCACUUCUUUCAUUCUGCAUGGGCAUCGAUCUUGAUCGAGGCCACUCCCCAGAACACUCCCUGCCUGCAUGUCUCUCUCAGGAGUCUGCUGCCUGGGGGUUGGAUUUAAGACACAUGCUGGUCUUCCCCUAGGAGUAAUUUCCCUGUCCACACUUUUGAUCAAAUUUCCUUGAAUUAUCUUAAUUUGAGUGUGCCCUCUGAAUUUUGAUGGGAUCUGGACUGACGGGGCAGGGUAUUGGGCUAGGGACAUGACUGGCAGGUAAGUCUGCCUAAUUCUGAGGCUCAGUAUUAGUAGGACUCUUUACUGACACAUGGAAUUUGUAUUCUCAAACGUACCAAAAUCAGCUUACUAAAGAUAUUUUGGUCUCCACCUUAAUUCUUUGUUUGUUAAAAGUAAUGGCAAAAACCACAAUUCCUUUUGUACCGACCUAAUCAACUAUUCAGAACCUGAAUGGAAGCCACUCCUUGGUGGUUCCCUUAGAAACCUCAGCCCCAUCCAGAGCCCUUGUAUCAGAUUUGGAUGGAAAGGGCAUGUGUUUAGCCCGUUCAAGGGUGACUUUUAGACAGUCCUCUCUCUCUCUCUGUGUGUGUGUGUGUGUGUGUGUGUGUGUGUGUGUGUGUGUGUGUGUAGGUUCAGCCUUUUCUCACUAAGACAGUUAUUUUCACCCAUAGGCAGGCACCCUGAUGGGAGAGGCAGGAUGAAUGGAUCUCUUUGAUACUCAAAGUUUUUUAAGCCAUUGAUGUGUUAUGUGUCUAAAAUAAUAUUCUUUUUUGAAAAAUUAUUGUUUCAUGAUAUGAUUAAUAAAUUAUUUUCUUUGUUAAAUAUCGAUUAAAAAUUAUAUUAAUAAUUAUGUUAAUAAUUAAGAAUUAUAGAUAAGGAUAAAAUUCCUUUUGACUGUUACAGCAGUCCACUCCCAAGAGAAUAAACUGUUACCUUCCAGACCUUUUCAAAAUUGACAGGAUCUAUUUAAAGUCCUGUAUUUUAUUUGACCAGAAAAUUCUAUUUUUCAGAUGUUACAUUUAAGAAAACUUCUUGAAUGUACAUGACAAAGAAUGAACAAGCAUAUUUAUUGCAACAUUGUUUAUAAUAGCAAUAAAGGUAAGCAACUUAAUAGGGGACUAAAUAAAUUGUGGUAUAUUUUUACAAUGACAGAGUAUACAGUAGUAAAAACAGUGAGGUGGAGCCCUAAGUGCUAACUUGGAAAAAGCUUCAGGAAAUAUCACUGAGUGAAAAAGGAGAUUGCAGAAUGAUAAAUGUAAUGUGAUGCAUUUUAUCAGGGCUAUUUAGGAAAAUUAUGGCCUAAUAGAAAUGACCUGGGCUGAGUGAGAGGAGCAGAAAUGGGGAGAGUGAUUAUUGCCCCUCGCUUGCUUUGCCUCCUUUAGCCAUUUCUUCCUGUUCUCUCAAUCAUUCUUUCCCCUCUUUCACUCCACAUUCUUUCCUUUCUUCAUCACUUCUUUUCAUAGUUAAAAUUGAAGCCAAGUCUACCCUCUAGGAAUUGUAUGUGUUUGUGCUCAUUAACAACCAGUUGAACUCUGUUGAUUAGCAAUAUGGUCAAUCCAAACUGGUUGUUAAAGUGUCAAAAUAAAUGGAUCCAAUACCUGCACCCGGGCUCACAUGAUCUCGUUGAUGAAUAAUUAAUAUAGCCUCAAUAUGAUGCAUUAUAUGGAAACCUGCCUGCUUUGGCUACUGUGAAAGCUUAAAAAUAAACCAACCACUUGACAAAGUUACAAAAAAAUAUAUAAAAAAGAAAUUUGCAGUAUGGGUUGAAUGAAUAAUAAAUAUAUAGUGUUUGCAUUAAAGAAAGUACCAGUGGCAUUGUACUUUGUGUUAUUAUUAGAGUGUGUAGAUUAUUUGAUUUGAAGAAU